rnacentral:rRNA from 1 species
CCUACGGGAGGCAGCAGUAGGGAAUUUUCCACAAUGGGCGAAAGCCUGAUGGAGCAAUACCGCGUGCAGGAUGAAGGCCUUCGGGUCGUAAACUGCUUUUAUGUGCGAAGAAUUUGACGGUAACACAUGAAUAAGGAUCGGCUAACUACGUGCCAGCAGCCGCGGUCAUACGUAGGAUCCAAGCGUUAUCCGGAAUUACUGGGCGUAAAGAGUUGCGUAGGUGGCAUUAUAAGUGGAGCGUGAAAGCGUGCGGCUCAACCGCAUUAUUGCGUUCCAAACUGUGAAGCUUGAGUAUGGGAGAGGUAGAUGGAAUUUCUAGUGUAGGAGUGAAAUCCGUAGAUAUUAGAAGGAACACCGAUGGCGUAGGCAGUCUACUGGCCCAUUACUGACACUAAGGCACGAAAGCGUGGCGAGCAAACGGGAUUAGAUACCCCGGUAGUCCACGCUGUAAACUAUGGAUGCUAGCUGUGACACACACUCGACCUCGUGUCGUAGUCGAGUAACGUACGUAGUACANCCGCCGUCGGGUAGGUACGGUCGCGAGAGUAACGUACGAAGAAGUAGACGGCGUGAGACGUGCCGACGGACGACGACGAGGGAGGAGG